AGAGUUUGAUCAUGGCUCAGGAUGAACGCUAGCUACAGGCUUAACACAUGCAAGUCGAGGGGAAACGACAUCGAAAGCUUGCUUUUGAUGGGCGUCGACCGGCGCACGGGUGAGUAACGCGUAUCCAACCUGCCCACCACUUGGGGAUAACCUUGCGAAAGUAAGACUAAUACCCAAUGACGUCUCUAGAAGACAUCUGAAAGGGAUUAAAGAUUUAUCGGUGAUGGAUGGGGAUGCGUCUGAUUAGCUUGUUGGCGGGGUAACGCCACAAGGCUACGAUCAGUAGGGGUUCUGAGAGGAAGGUCCCCCANAUUGGAACUGAGACACGGUCCAAACGUCCUACGGGAGCA
rnacentral:rRNA from 1 species